UUGAUUUGGGUGACAUGAGUAG
rnacentral:siRNA from 1 species